rnacentral:lncRNA from 1 species
AUGUCUCCAGUAAUCCCUGGAGCGGAAGUCCCAGCACAUUUCACGAGCACUCAACACCAGUACCGAUGGGCCUCGGAAAAUGGCCUUUGCCAACCCUGCCAUUGAGGGUGUGAGGCAGAGGUGCUCAUGUGGUGUUGAGGAAGGCAGACAAUGACCUCACCACGAGGGCUGGAGAACUUCACAGAUGAUGAGGUGGGACGUGGGAACACCUUCAUGCUGAACCCACGACACUACAAGAUCCCAGGUGGCUCGUGAACUGACAGAAGCGUGUGAAGGGACUACAGCUGAGUUCUGGCCAAUGGGUUAGACAAGCUGUGUGGGGGCCCGGAGCUGAUCGAUGAAGGUUAGAGCCCAUUGGGGGCUGAGCCAGUUCUGG